CCUACGGGAGGCAGCAGUGGGGGAUCUUGCACAAUGGGCGAAACCCUGAUGCAGCGACGCCGCGUGAGUGAAGAAGUAUUUCGGAAUGUAAAGCUCUAUCAGCAGGGAAGAAAGUGACAGUACCUGACCAAGAAGCUCUGGCUAACGACGUGCCAGCAGCCGCGGUAAUACGACGGGGGCAAGCGUUAUCCGGUUUUACUGGGUGUAAAGGGAGCGUAGACGGUUAUGUAAGUCUGGAGUGAAAGCCCGGGGCUCAACCCCGGGACUGCUUUGGAAACUGGGUAACUGGAGUGCAGGAGAGGCAGGCGGAAGUCCUGGUGUAGCGGUGAAAUGCGUAGAUAUCAGGAAGAACACCGGCGGCGAAGGCGGCCUGCUGGACUGUAACUGACGUUGAGGUUCGAAAGCGUGGGGAGCAAACAGGAUUAGAUACCCUGGUAGUC
rnacentral:rRNA from 1 species